rnacentral:rRNA from 1 species
UACGUAGGGUGCGAGCGUUGUCCGGAAUUAUUGGGCGUAAAGAGCUCGUAGGCGGUUUGUCGCGUCGACUGUGAAAACUGGGGGCUUAACUCUCAGCUUGCAGUUGAUACGGGCAGACUUGAGUUCGGUAGGGGAGACUGGAAUUCCUGGUGUAGAGGUGAAAUGCGUAGAUAUCGGGAGGAACACCAGUGGCGAAGGCGACUACCUGGCCUGGUUCUUGACGCUGAGGCGCGAAAGCUA